UCAAUAGGUCAGCCUUCUGCUC
rnacentral:siRNA from 1 species